AAAAAAAAGGGAGCCGGAGCCGCGGCUCCCCUUAGUUUUGCCACUUUUCCCACAUCGGUGGGAAAUGUGGCAUGGGAGCCUUGAGGCAUCUAUAAAAGGAGCCUCAAGGCUCCAAGAUACUCAUCGCACUUGCCCACGGGCAAGCAGUGAGUCGCCAAAUUGGCUCUAGCAUUAGCGGAGUCGAAAUGGCAAGGCUCCACAGUAAUAUUUUUAUUUUUUCACACAUAUUGUGCACCCUCUCUUGUGACGACGAAGACAAGGAAGGCUGUAGACUUCUCCAUUCUCUCCUCUCUUGAGACGACGGUUCAGGGUUUUAGGAAAUUGAAGGCGCUGAUGAUGGAGUUGUUGGAGAAGCCAAAGAUGAUGGCGGUGGCGUUCUCAAGGAUACUGGAGGUAAGACAUCUAUGCAGCAUUUUGUUUUCAGGCCAUCUAGAAAUCUGCUUCAUGGUAUAUGAUGGUGGAAAUUUAUGGAUGAUGUGGAGUAGCUCUGGUCUUAGUAUUGAAGGAAGAAUAUUGAUGCAUGACCCUUAAACUAUUUGUUCAUAUUUUUUAGGUUAUAGAUUGAGAGCCACAUAUUACAGAAGGAAAUUUGUCAUGCACAACAUUCAUGGCAAAUUAUAUAGGUGCACAACAUAAAUACAUGUUUUUUUAGCCCCUUAAACUAGAUCUCUAAUAUAUUUUUUUUAGUUUGAAUGAUGACAUAAGGAGAAAUCUUAAGUUUGGUUUGAAAAAUCAUUUAAAUACUAAAGUUGAAAAAAUAACAUUUUACAACAAGUGUCCAUUCCAUAGGGUGGGAGUAAUUUAGGAGUAGGAUUGUGGGAGUGAUUAAGUUGGAAGCAAUAGAGGGGGGUUGAGAAUGGAGACUAGUUGAAAGAAUUUCACUAUAUUGGGCAAAGAUACCAUGUCAUAUGUAGAGAGAUACAAUAAUAAGUAUAAUCCCAUUGCUGAAUGUCAUGUUUGCAAUUUCAAAGCUGCAUAUUUCUUCAUUUAUAGAAGAUGCUUCAGUCAAAUUUCUUUCUAUGAAGAAGCCAGUCUCUUUAGGAUUUAGGUAAUCACAUGUGUUUCUGUCAGAAUUUUCUGUUAGUUUUAGGGUGUCACCACCAUUCCACAAUAGCCAUGCCUACAAUAUAACCAAACUAGUUACUCAUUAGUAAAAUAUGAUGUUGAAAAUCAUAUAUACUUACAUGGCCUAGAAGAUUAUUGUGAUGGUCUAAAUGAUGAAAUGUCCUGUACUUCUUCCACUAAUAAGUUCUAGUAAAUUCCUCCAAGACUGAAAACAUAUGUAUGGAAAAGUUGUCAUUCACAGUAGUACUUAGGUGACAUGUAGCGACUGCAUCCAAACAUCAGCUCCAAGUUAAGUUGCUAAUUUAUAAGUGCAAUGCAUUAAUGUUUUGAUGCUGAUAAAACUUACUAUGUCUCGAUUACUCUUUUUGUUUUUGCUAGAGUAGUAUGUCUCGAUUACUCGUUUUGUUUUUGCUAGAGUAGUAUGUCUCGAUUACUCGUUUUGUUUUUGCUAGAGUAGCAUCUUCUCCUACAAUUCUAACAAGUCCAAAGUAAGAAAUCUUAAGAAAUCUUGGGAUUCAAUUCCACAUCUAGUAAUAUAUAUCUUGCCUUGCCUUCAGAUUUCUAUGUAUUAUUUUGAAUCUGAAAUUUUGGUGUAGAUAUAGCAGUCCACGUGAUAUUCCCACAGCAAUUUCAAUGCGCUUCUGCGAUGUAAAUAUUCUUUUUCUGCUCUCUGCUGUGUACAUAUUAUUGUUGAUUCAGUUGACAAAUUAGUGUCUAUAAGCAAAGUAACAAUGAUAUAACAUUUUUAAAAAACAGCUAAUUUGUCUGGAUAGUGAUUUUCAAGUUAUGAAUCAAGAAAACCAAAUCAAAUAUGGAGUUCAAGCUAUUGUUUCGCAUAAAUUCAUAUAUUAGCAUCAUUUGUCCUCCGUCUGCACAACGUAAAAGUGUUGUGAGACUUCUUUGUUGAAGUUUGGCUAAUGUGAGUACUUCAUUCUCCCACUCUUGAGCACCUUGACCUGAAUUUUCUGAAAGCUUCUUAAUUGCUAUUCUACUUGUGUGCCAAUUAAUAGCAUGCCCUGCAAUAGUUUUACCCAAGCAUGUGUAAUAAUCUCAUUCUCCCACUCUUGAGCACCUUGACCUGAAUUUUCUGAAAGCUUCUUAAUUGCUACUCUACUUGUGUGCCAAUUAAUAGCAUGCCCUGCAAUAGUUUUACCCAAGCAUGUGUAAUAAUCUUUGAUAUCUCACAGUGGCUAAUGAGCCACAGUUUUGUGCAAGUUUAGUACCUUGUAAAGUAGUUUGUUCCAAAAAUAACACUUUCCAAAGAAAACAAUGGCAAUGCCUGAAAAUAUUACCUCUUAAUACCAUAGAAAAAUCAUUUCACGAAUUAGGAAUAGGUAGUUAGUCCAAA